GUUUUGUUUACAUGCCUCGAAUCGAGAGUCGAUGGUGUUGCUCACUCCAGUCUUGUCAUACCAAACAUGUGUCAUACAUAUCAACAGAGAUCGGCUUCCCUCCCCCACUGAGUGCCUGCUCCCGUUGCUCCUCGCCUCCUCACCUCCUUGUUGGUCAGUCAUCCUCUCUACAGCCCGAGAAGUUCCACGCAGCACAGUCCACCAGAAGAUCGAAGUAUAUAGUGACACACUGCUGCAUGGGAGCACCACCACGGUAUUGG